rnacentral:tRNA from 1 species
GCCCGGGUGGCUCAGUCGGUUGAGCGUCCGACUUCGGCUCAGGUCAUGAUCUCGCGGUCUGUGGGUUCAAGCCCCGCGUCAGGCU